rnacentral:rRNA from 1 species
GCGUUGUCCGGAUUUAUUGGGCGUAAAGAGCUCGUAGGUGGUUCGGUAAGUCGGAUGUGCAAUCUCCAGGCUCAACCUGGAGGGGUCAUUCGAUACUGCCGUGACUAGAGGUCGGUAGGGGAGUGUGGAAUUCCUGGUGGAGCGGUGAAAUGCGCAGAUAUCAGGAGGAACACCCGUAGCGAAGGCGGCAGUCUGGGCAGAUACUGACACUGAGGAGCGAAAGCGUGGGGAGCGAACAGG